rnacentral:tRNA from 1 species
UGGGAUGUAGCUCAGUGGCAAAGCAUUUGCCUAGCAAGCAACACCAACGUCCUGGGUUCGAUUCCCAAAUACCAA